rnacentral:rRNA from 1 species
UACGUAGGGGGCGAGCGUUAUCCGGAUUCACUGGGUGUAAAGGGAGCGUAGACGGCCAUGCAAGCCAGGGGUGAAAGCCCGGGGCCCAACUCCGGGACUGCCCUUGGAACUGCAUGGCUGGAGUGCGGGAGGGGCAGGCGGAAUUCCUGGUGUAGCGGUGAAAUGCGUAGAUAUCAGGAGGAACACCGGCGGCGAAGGCGGCCUGCUGGACCGCGACUGACGUUGAGGCUCGAAAGCGUGGGGAGCGAACAGG